rnacentral:rRNA from 1 species
GUGCCAGCCGCCGCGGUAAUACGGAGGGUGCGAGCGUUGUCCGGAUUUAUUGGGUUUAAAGGGUGCGUAGGUGGGCUGGUAAGUCUGGUUUAAAAGCUGGUCGCUCAACGAUCAGAUGUGGCUGGAAACUGUCAGUCUUGAGUGAGGCAGAGGCAGGCGGAACGGGUCGUGUAGCGGUGAAAUGCAUAGAUAUGACCCAGAACCCCGAUUGCGUAGGCAGCCUGCUGGGCCUUCACUGGCACUGAGGCACGAGAGCAUGGGGAGCAAACAGGAUUAGAUACCCGUGUAGUCC